rnacentral:rRNA from 1 species
GAUGAACGCUAGCGGGAGGCUUAACACAUGCAAGUCGAGGGGCAGCACGAUGUAGCAAUACGUUGGUGGCGACCGGCGCACGGGUGAGUAACACGUAUGUAACCUACCCUGUACAGGGGGAUAACCCGGAGAAAUUCGGACUAAUACUCCAUGGAGAUAUACUGGGGCAUCCUGGUAUAUUUAAAGCUUCGGUGGUACGGGAUGGGCAUGCGGAACAUUAGCUAGUUGGCAGGGUAACGGCCUACCAAGGCUACGAUGUUUAGGGGUCCUGAGAGGGUGGUCCCCCACACUGGUACUGAGACACGGACCAGACUCCUACGGGAGGCAGCAGUGAGGAAUAUUGGUCAAUGGGCGCAAGCCUGAACCAGCCAUCCCGCGUGCAGGAAGACGGCCCUAUGGGUUGUAAACUGCUUUUCCAGGGGAGAGAAACUUACGCACGUGUUGCGUGACUGACGGUACCCCUGGGGAAUAAGCAUCGGCUAACUCCGUGCCAGCAGCCCGCGGUAAUCACG